UGGGGAAUUUUGGACAAUGGGGGAAACCCUGAUCCAGCCAUCCCGCGUGUGCGAUGAAGGCCUUCGGGUUGUAAAGCACUUUUGGCAGGAAAGAAACGUCGCGGGUUAAUACCCCGCGAAACUGACGGUACCUGCAGAAUAAGCACCGGCUAACUACGUGCCAGCAGCCGCGGUAAUACGUAGGGUGCAAGCGUUAAUCGGAAUUACUGGGCGUAAAGCGUGCGCAGGCGGUUCGGAAAGAAAGAUGUGAAAUCCCAGAGCUUAACUUUGGAACUGCAUUUUUAACUACCGGGCUAGAGUGUGUCAGAGGGAGGUGGAAUUCCGCGUGUAGCAGUGAAAUGCGUAGAUAUGCGGAGGAACACCGAUGGCGAAGGCGGCCUCCUGGGAUAACACUGACGCUCAUGCACGAAAGCGUGGGGAGCAAACAGGAUUAGAUACCCUGGUAGUCCACGCCCUAAAACGAUGUCAACUAGCUGUUGGGGCCUUCGGGCCUUGGUAGCGCAGCUAACGCGUGAAGUUGACCGCCUGGGGAGUACGGUCGCAAGAUUAAAAACUCAAAA
rnacentral:rRNA from 1 species